rnacentral:rRNA from 1 species
GUUAUGGCUUACCAAGGCGACGACGGGUAGCCGGCCUGAGAGGUGUCCGGCCACACUGGGACUGAGAUACGGCCCAGACUCCUACGGGAGGCAGCAGUGGGGAAUAUUGCACAAUGGGCGGAAGCCUGAUGCAGCGACGCCGCGUGAGGGAUGAAGGCCUUCGGGUUGUAAACCUCUUUCAGCAGGGACGAAGCGUGAGUGACGGUACCUGCAGAAGAAGCACCGGCUAACUACGUGCCAGCAGCCGCGGUAAUACGUAGGGUGCGAGCGUUGUCCGGAAUUACUGGGCGUAAAGAGUUCGUAGGCGGUUUGUCGCGUCGUCUGUGAAAUCCUAGGGCUUAACCCUGGACGUGCAGGCGAUACGGGCUGACUUGAGUACUACAGGGGAGACUGGAAUUUCUGGUGUAGCGGUGGAAUGCACAGAUAUCAGGAAGAACACCGAUGGCGAAGGCAGGUCUCUGGGUAGUAACUGACGCUGAGGAGCGAAAGCAUGGGUAGCGAACAGGAUUAGAUACCCUGGUAGUCCACGCCGUAAACGGUGGGCGCUAGGUG